ACUUAAAAUUUGUGACAUAUUUACUUAAGUAGCAUAGUUUUGUUAUUUAAGUAUGAUGUUGUGUUUGCAUAUUAGCUUAGUAAAUCUAAGCUCGAGUAACAAGUAAGUUACUCAUUUCACUUCCUGUAUAUUUAAACCCUGUGGGUUUGAUUUUUUGCCGUCCUUUACGUCAGUAUUUGGACGGUUUUUUUAU
rnacentral:other from 1 species